rnacentral:lncRNA from 1 species
UUUUUUUUUUUCAAAGAUAUCCUCCAAACUUGGAUCAAAAUUGGGCCAACAAUUAGGCUAAUUAUAUAUAAUCUCUUGGGUUUUCAAUUAAUUUCUUUGGGCUAUGUAAUAUUUACAUAGUCCAAUCAUUUUCAAUUUGUCUCACCCUAAAUAUUUAAUUAGGGUACCCAUUCCAAAUAUUUAGAAUUUAAAUCAUUACUCUAGUACACUAAAUUUUUAUAACCCAAUCAAACUUACUUAAAUUAAGUUAUAAAAUUAGUAACUUGAGAUAAUAAC